rfam:Schistosoma rodhaini strain Burundi genome assembly, scaffold: SROB_scaffold0000008
AUCCGGCUGACGAGUCCUGAAUAGAACAAAACGUGCGUCCUCGAU